GCGGGCGUGGCGGAAUUGGUAGACGCCAUGGCUUUAGGUGCCAUUGUUCGAAAGAGCGUGUGGGUUCGAGUCCCUCCGCCCGCACAA
rnacentral:tRNA from 1 species